rnacentral:lncRNA from 1 species
GGAGAUCCAGGAUCCAACAAGAACUCGGGAGGGGGAGAGGAGGCCCCUGGAGAACUCUGACCUCCUUUCUCAUGGCUUUCCCCUGCAGCUGGAGCGAGGUUUGCUUCGAGAGGAGCUGGUGUCACCAUGCUGAGACUGAGAAGCAGGCAACCCAGGCUUAUCCACGAGGGUACAGAUGGCCGCGUCUAGCUGUGCAUACAACAGAACAGUGUUGCUCAGUGUGUGGUCCCCAGACCAGCAGCAGCAGCACCUGGGAACUCACUGGAAAUGCUGGAUCUCGGAUCACACCCCAGACCUGCUGCGUCAGACACUUGGGGAUGGGAGGAGCAGCAACUUGGAUUGUCAGAAACCCUCCAGGGGAUUUCAUGCACCCUGAAGUUUGA